rnacentral:rRNA from 1 species
UACGUAGGGUCCGAGCGUUGUCCGGAAUUACUGGGCGUAAAGAGCUCGUAGGCGGUUUGUCGCGUCUGCCGUGAAAGUCCGGGGCUCAACUCCGGAUCUGCGGUGGGUACGGGCAGACUAGAGUGAUGUAGGGGAGACUGGAAUUCCUGGUGUAGCGGUGAAAUGCGCAGAUAUCAGGAGGAACACCGAUGGCGAAGGCAGGUCUCUGGGCAUUAACUGACGCUGAGGAGCGAAAGCGUGGGGAGCGAACAGG